CACGAACGCUGGCGGCAGGCUUAACACAUGCAAGUCGAGCGCCCCGCAAGGGGAGCGGCAGACGGGUGAGUAACGCGUGGGAAUCUACCCAUCUCUACGGAAUAACGCAUGGAAACGUGUGCUAAUACCGUAUACGUCCUUCGGGCGAAAGAUUUAUCGGAGAUGGAUGAGCCCGCGUUGGAUUAGCUAGUUGGUGGGGUAAAGGCCUACCAAGGCGACGAUCCAUAGCUGGUCUGAGAGGAUGAUCAGCCACACUGGGACUGAGACACGGCCCAGACGCGUACGGGAGGCAGCAGUGGGGAAUAUUGGACAAUGGGCGCAAGCCUGAUCCAGCCAUGCCGCGUGAGUGAUGAAGGCCCUAGGGUUGUAAAGCUCUUUCACCGGUGAAGAUAAUGACGGUAACCGGAGAAGAAGCCCCGGCUAACUUCGUGCCAGCAGCCGCAGUAACAC
rnacentral:rRNA from 1 species